rnacentral:rRNA from 1 species
UAUGACCUACGGGAGGCAGCAGUGGGGAAUAUUGCACAAUGGGGGAAACCCUGAUGCAGCGACGCCGCGUGAGUGAAGAAGUAUCUCGGUACGUAAAGCUCUAUCAGCAGGGAAGAAAAUGACGGUACCUGACUAAGAAGCCCCGGCUAACUACGUGCCAGCAGCCGCGGUAAUACGUAGGGGGCAAGCGUUAUCCGGAUUUACUGGGUGUAAAGGGAGCGUAGACGGCAGCACAAGUCUGGAGUGAAAUCCCG